CCCGCUCCCACGCCUUCCCUCCUCCCCAGUCUCCUCCCUCCGUUACUCUUGCCUUCCUGUGUGUGUGUGUGUGUGUGUGUGUGUGUGUGUCUGUGUGUGUGUGUGUGUGUGUAGACAGACGCCGCGGCAGCGACUGCAUUUGUGGAAACUUGCAGGCUUCGGCCAGUCGGUCCUCAGAUAGGUCCUCUUUCCUCCAGCCCCUCACACAGUCAGCACUCAGAUGUUCACCGCGACCGCAAAUGUUUCCUUCCUUCCUUCUUUCAGACACGCGCGCACACACACCCAUACACACACGGAAAGGGUUACAAUUUCCGUAAACCACAGAAGCAGCAGAAAUAUGAUAGUGUUCCCUACUCCUUCAAAUGGUACUUCUCCGUGACGGAAAACUACGAGGUCUCUGCUGAUCUGAGGACUUUGCACAUGAAAAUCACAGGGACAUCGUGGCAAACAGACAAAUCAAGAAAAGCACCCUGGACUUGAUGCUGUUAAUGAAAGGAAUGAGUGAUAUUUACAAGGCAUCAAAUUUGGCCGGGCGCAGUGGCUCACGUCUGUAAUCCCAGAACUUUGGGAGGCCGAGAAGGGUGGCUCAUGAGGUCAAGAGAUCAAGACCAUCCUGGCAAACAUGGUGAAACCCCGUCACUACUAAAAAUACAAAAAUUAGCUGGGUGUGGUGGGGCAUGCCUGUAGCCCCAGCUACUCAGGGGGCUGAGGCAGGAGAAUCGCUUGAACCCGGGGUGGUGGAGGUUGCAGUGAGCUGAGAUCCGCCACUGCACUCCAGCUUGGUGACAGAGUGAGACUCCAUCUCAAAAAAAAAAAAAAAAAAAGCAAAAAAGCCUCAAAUUUUAGAGACUUAGCAACAUUACUAAGUGAGAACUUGAAAGGAAGUAGAACCACUUCAGAAUGAGAUGAUUUGCACCUCUCUGAAAUUGGCAGCUUUUAAAUUUACAGUUACUUGAUUUGCCCAAGAAAACAAUUCAAAAGGAGGGCAACACUUUUUCCAUAUAUUCCUGAGUCAGUCUUGGGAAAAAUCUAGCAAAUGAAAACACAGUGUCUGGUACAGUACUUGGCAUAUAGCAGGUGCUCAGUAUUUAUUGGAAGGAGGGAGAUGCUUGGUAAAAGCUCUUGGUAAAUGUCAUGCUCUGCUGAGCUCUAAGGAGUGUAUUAGAGCAGUGCUUUUCAGAUAUUACUAUGUAAAUCAACCAUAUUCUGAUUAAAUCGAUUUGAGAUGGACCUGAUAGUCCAAAUAUUCGACAAGCUUCUAACCGAUGCAGAUACUCCUGGCCCAGACUACACUUUGAGUAGCAAGGCCUUAGAGAACAGGCUCAUGUUUGACAGGUAGGAUAUGCAGUGCUUUUUCUCUCUUUUCCAAGAUUUUAUAAUGUUUUUACAUAACUUUUAUAAUCAUAAAAUAAAUUUGCUUU